rnacentral:rRNA from 1 species
GACAUCCAGAGAAUUUAGCAGAGAUGCUUUAGUGCCUUCGGGAACUCUGAGACAGGUGCUGCAUGGCUGUCGUCAGCUCGUGUUGUGAAAUGUUGGGUUAAGUCCGCAACGAGCGCAACCCUUAUCCUUUGUUGCCAGCACGUAAUGGUGGGAACUCAAAGGAGACUGCCGGUGAUAAACCGGAGGAAGGUGGGGAUGACGUCAAGUCAUCAUGGCCCUUACGAGUAGGGCUACACACGUGCUACAAUGGCGUAUACAAAGAGAAGCGACCUCGCGAGAGCAAGCGGACCUCAUAAAGUGCGUCGUAGUCCGGAUUGGAGUCUGCAACUCGACUCCAUGAAGUCGGAAUCGCUAGUAAUCGUAAAUCAGAAUGUUACGGUGAAUACGUUCCCGGGCCUUGUACACACCGCCCGUCACACCAUGGGAGUGGGUUGCAAAAGAAGUAGAUAGCUUAACCUUCGGGAGGGCGUUUACCACUUUGUGAUUCAUGACUGGGGUGAAGUCGUAACAAGGUAGGCGUAGUGCU